AUUGAACGCUGGCGGUGUGCUUAACACAUGCAAGUCGAUCGGUAACAGGUGUAGCAAUACAUGCUGACGAGAGGCGGACGGGUGAGGAACGCUUGGGAAUCUGCCUAUCAGCGGGGGACAACCCGGGGAAACCCGGGCUAAUACCGCAUACGCUCUACGGAGGAAAGCCGGGGACCGCAAGGCCUGGCACUGAUAGAUGAGCCCAAGUCGGAUUAGCUAGUUGGCGGGGUAACGGCCCACCAAGGCGACGAUCCGUAGCUGGUCUGAGAGGACGAUCAGCCACACCGGAACUGAGACACGGUCCGGACUCCUACGGGAGGCAGCAGUGGGGAAUAUUGGACAAUGGGCGAAAGCCUGAUCCAGCGACGCCGCGUGGGUGAAGAAGGCCUGCGGGUUGUAACGCCCUUUCGGUAGGGACGAAAGCUCUCGACCUAACACGUCGGGAGGUUGACUUAACCUACAAAAGAAGCACCGGCUAACUCUGUGCCAGCAGCCGCGGUAACAC
rnacentral:rRNA from 1 species